rnacentral:rRNA from 1 species
AACGAACGCUGGCGGCGCGCCUAAUACAUGCAAGUCGAGCGAGAAGACGUAGCAAUACGUUUGUAAGGCGGCGAACGGGUGAGGAAUACAUGGGUAACCUACCCUCGAGUGGGGAAUAACUAGCCGAAAGGUUAGCUAAUACCGCGUACGCUCCUUGGACUUCGGUUCAGGGAGGAAAGCGAUACCGUGGGUAUCGCGCUCUUGGAUGGGCUCAUGUCCUAUCAGCUUGUUGGUGAGGUAACGGCUCACCAAGGCUUCGACGGGUAGCUGGUCUGAGAGGACAAUCAGCCACACUGGCACUGCGACACGGGCCAGACUCCUACGGGAGGCAGCAGUAAGGAAUAUUGCGCAAUGGGCGAAAGCCUGACGCAGCGACGCCGC